CUGUGCUCCCAUAUUGGACAUAAUGAAGGCACCGUUGAGAUGCAGUUAUCAGCGAUAUAACUCACAACAAACCAAAGCGUUUUCAGAAAAAGAAGCUUAAAAUCUGCAUUUUAAAAACCCGGAAAUACGUCCAGAUAAGGCAGAAUUCGCAUCACAAAGCCAGGUUUGUGUGUGGAGUGGGUCCAAGAAUAUCGAAGGGACUUUGAGCUGAAGAAGCUGGCAACAUAAAUGACAAAGGGAAACAAGACGUCUGACAUCUUAAUGCAUACUAAGCUGUAUAUUCU